GUUAGGAAUAUUGGACAAUGGGCGCAAGCCUGAUCCAGCCAUGCCGCGUGAGUGAUGAAGGCCUUCGGGUUGUAAAGCUCUUUAGUCCACGAAUAUAAUGACUGUAGUGGAAGAAUAAGCCCCGGCUAACUUCGUGCCAGCAGCCGCGGUAAUACGAAGGGGGCGAGCGUUAUUCGGAAUCACUGGGCGUAAAGCGUGCGUAGGCUGUUUUGUAAGUCAGAAGUGAAAGCCCAGGGCUUAACCCUGGAAUUGCUUUUGAAACUACAAGACUCGAAUUCGGGAGAGGAUAGCGGGAUUGUCAGUGUAGCAGUGAAAUGCGUAGAUAUUGACAGGAACACCAGUGGCGCAAGCGGCUAUCUGGACCGAUAUUGACGCUGAGGCACGAAAGCGUGGGGAGCAAACAGGAUUAGAUACCCUUGUAGUCC
rnacentral:rRNA from 1 species